rnacentral:tRNA from 1 species
CCUAUUGUAGCUCAGUUGGUAGAGUAUGACGCUUGCAACGUCAGGAUAGUGGGUUUGACCACCCGUAGGU